CCAGAUCUAGUUUUUUCUCCCCUUCUGUCUCUCUCUUUCUCCCCUUCAGAGUUCAAACCUGAACAAGAACUAGUUUUUUCUUCCCUCAUUUUAGUUCGGUUCCUGAUCUGCCUCCUCUCUAGUAUUUUCUCUUAUGGGUGACUGGCGCGUCUGAAGUCAGCGAGACACGCGAAUGGCUUCGGACUAUCUUCCCACAACCCAGUUAACAACCCAAAGUUGCAGUGAAGAAUUUUCAUGACUCGGGUAGUGGGGUGAUCUCCCAACAACAUGGGAUAUAGCGGGUAGCAAACUCUGCCUUUACUGAUGAAAACAACAAAUCAUUGUAUUGAGAGAGAGGUUAAUAAUACUUUUGACUUCUAAUUAAAGAAAAUUUAUCACCAGUUCACCACUUUGGUUACGUGAUUUCUGUCCACAUUUUUUAGAAGACUAAUCAAAGAGAUUGGCAAGUUAGCAUUUGCUUGUAGGCUACUUAAACUUCCUAUGUGCGGUAUGACUUGCUGGAGAUCAGGAAACGCUAUUUGGACAGAUAGACAAGUAAGGU